AAAUCCUUUUUUUGGCACAAUAUAAUUUUCAUUCUUUUCUUGUAUUCAGGGGGUUUGAGUUGUUUCCUACAAUCUUUCUGCAUUCGAGUGCAUGAUUCUGUCUUUCGAAGCUGCCAGGUGACUUCGCUUCGUCCUUGUGCCCUUCUUGACGCAUUCAGUAUGACGUCUAUCCGUUUGAUCGCACACUAAAAUGCAAACUCUCCUUUGACUUUAUCGUUCUGCUUCUGGUGGCUGAUACCGAAUGCUGCACCUUAUCUCAAACAAUCCUUGUCUCGUUUUUCCGCAAGCUUCAUUGCC
rnacentral:lncRNA from 1 species